UUUAACGGUGGAUCUCUUGGCUCGUGGAUCGAUGAAGAACGCAGCAAACUGCGAUACGUAGUGUGAAUUGCAGAAUUCAGUGAAUCAUCGAAUCUUUGAACGCAAAUGGCGCUCCUGGUUCUGCCAGGAGCACGUCUGUCUCAGUGUCGU
rnacentral:rRNA from 1 species